GCAUUUGUGACUGGUUAACUUUUAAUUUGUCAAAAUAAAUCUGCAGUAUUUUGCAUGUUAGUAAUACAGUGCUGGUAUUGACAGGUAAAAUCAUCUGCUUACACAGAAACCUUCAUUUAGGAGCACACCUUAGGAGGGAAAUGGAUACACAGUAAAAGGCAAGUGCAGGCCAAGCAGUGAGCCCUAGAGCACAACAGGCUGGAUGUCAGAUUUAAGGAUUAUCUAAUACAACUGUUUAGUUGCCAAUCUGAUAAAGGGAAGCUCUCAAUCAGGUUACAAUCAGAAGGGAAAAACAUACUUUGCCUUUCUGUAGAGCAGUGGCUGUUGUGCCUUCAACACCUGGUUGAAUCAGUUCAUCGGCAUCACAACUCAUUUCCAGUUCCAAGACACAGGAGAGUUUCAUCAUACAACCCAUUCGGCCUCCUCUGCAGUGGCCCACCCUCACCCCAUCCUGCCACCAACUGUCUCCCUCCCAAAAGAAGACACGACGUGGCUUUAUUAUUGCAGAUAAACUUAAGUGAAUAAAGAAUGCAUAUAAAAUAGGAUUUUAACUGAAGUCAUACAAUGAAGUCUCACUCCCCGUUUAUUAUACAAUGAAUUGAUAAAACAAUCAUUUCUAGUAUAUAUCUUUUUUUUUUUUAAAGAACUAAUAUUUUCAGGAUCCUGACAACCACACUCUAGCCUGGGGGUAGGGCCCACGCCUGCCCCCAUUGAGGAUUGCUCCUUGGACCGCUGUGGAGGAAGCCUGGGCUGUCUGAACCAUGGAGAAUUGAGACUGCCAGCCUAUCAGAGGUAACAUCCUAGCAGGUAGAGCCAGAACCCAGUCCUGGGUCUGCAUGCCAGGAAAUGUGGGCUUCCUCCAAAUGCGGUAACUGCCCUCCCAAUCCAGGCCUCAGCAGGGCCAUUCCUGGGCCUUCUCUACAUAAAUCCUUCCAGUAGUCCACACAUAAUGCUCUACAUAUUAAAAUCAAGCCAUUUUUGUACUGUGGAUAAGAACAGUUGUAACAAAGUCAUAGCUACAUAUUUUUCUCUACAUUUUGUUUAUUGAGACAAACUAAUUAAAAGGCACAAACAUAGGGCAUGUUUACAUGGACAUUAUAACAAACAUAUACAUUAAAAGUGUAGGAAUGUGUUGCCUUCCUGCUAAACAGAAAGUUCCUAAGCUUUUAUAUAUACAAAAGUUGUACAAUUUAAUGUCCUAAAGUACAAAAGAUCAUUUAUAAAAUUAUUUUACACUAGGUACUAUUUAUUUUUUUACUAUGUAGUUCAACCCCCUAGAACUGUUUUGUAUAAUGACACACAGAUACCUAUCCCUGACGUAGGAAGUCUGCUUCAGAUGUAAGGUUUUUUGAUAAUUGAACUGACACAGUGGGGUAUAAACGGAAGUCAUUCAGUUUGAUAGUCCCGCAAACAUUCUGCAGGAUUAAUACAACUAAUUUCCAUUUCUCUUUACUGCAAGAUUAAAAUAUGAAAAAACCAAAAACAUAUUGCAACUUAAAAAAAAAAAUCACAGGAUCUUGGUUUUAACUUUUUAAACACAAUAUUUUAAAACAUUAAUGUGUGGCGUGAUGGUAUAAAGAAUAUCUGUUUCCGUAGCUUUUGGUUUCUACCUUAUGUACAAAGAGAAAACAUACUGCUAAGAAAUAAAAAGCACAUGUCUCAACGUGCACAACCAUUGCUGGGUUUCUACAGAGAGUGCAGAGAACUGUCUCUCUGAAAACACCACAAAGCUGAUACAAGUGUUGUCUCAAAAAAAAAAAGAUGUCCAUAUUUACAAAGUUGAACAAAUCUGCACAAUACGUGAUUAAACGGAAGAAGAAAAAAAGAAAAUGAUACACUCUGCUCGUUCUGAAGGGGCAUACUACCUAGUUAGUGGUUAGAAUAAAAACUGUAUACAAUUUAAUAUAAGACAUAAACUCUAGUGAGCAUCUAAAACAUCUGUCCCUGUUGUAACAUCAACAGGCUCUGAUUGGGGGAGAGAGCGGCAUUUCACAUCCCAGUGCCUCCAGCGUCUUUCAAUUUAAAGCAAUAUAUCUGAACUGUUCCAAGGUACUCCUUAGCUCCUGAACAAGAGUCCCACUGGCCUCCAUUUCUUAGAAGACUGCCUGUCCGCACACUUGACUUCUCCUCUGUCAAUGGUGGCCUUUCCUUACCAAAACACAAUUUGUAUAUUUUUUUUAAAAUUUUUUAAAAAGUCAACUACAAUGCUAUAUUCCAUCAGGAUUAAUAUGCUGAGCAAUAUUUACAUCUACAAAUAUCAGGUCACAAUCCCUAUUAUAUGUUGAAGUUAGAAUGAUAAAUUAUCAUAUGCUUUGCAUAUCAGAGCUGGUAUCACCUUUCCCAUAGGGAAUGCUGCCUGAAAUUAACAUAUUCCCAAAGGUAAAAUGCAUAUUCUCUGAAAUGCAUUUUAUUAUGACAAUGCAUAUAUUUACUCAUAAAAACAAUAAACACAGACAAUUUUACACUAGCUCUCAAUCUGUGGAUUCAGAAUUUCAGGUUAAAAUCAGCCAUCCACCUUGUAUAGGGAGAACACUUCUGCUAGUGUUUAGAAUAAAAUGAUUUCUUGGGCUUAGAAACAACAAUGGUAAUUUUUAAAUUUUGAAAUGGGUUUUGCUUUUUUAUGAUUGGUUUUCAUUCUGGCAUUUCAUCUUGCCAACUACUAUACUGUUUAAGCAAUGCUGUCAGCUAAAAGGAAUUUCUGAUUAAACUAAAAGUGGUCCAGUGAUAAGUUACAUAUACAUCCUACUUUGAACCAUCCCAGCCAAAUUGGAGGAAAAUGCUACUAUAUUCUUAUUAACUAAUGUAAUAAAAUCUUCCAAUUUCAUGGUUUGCUUUUUGCUUUAACUGACUAAAAUAAGUUGCUGGUAAAUAUUUACUUUAACCCAUAUUUGAUAUUAUAAUACUGUUUACCAAGGUGGUGAUGUAGGCAAAGCUUGGGGCAAGAAAGGCAUGCUUUCUACAGGCCUCAUUGCUAUAUUGAGAGGGGCAGCUAAUGUCAUAGGAGUAGGCAGGUUCAUUGGAGACGUGAUUGUGACAGGGUGUGCUAUAUUCACUGGGGCAGUGACAGGGGUUGGGAGGUUUACUGGGGUAGUAAGUGUUAAAGGAGAGGUCAUGGAUAAUGGACUUGUUAUAGUUACAGGAUGCCCUAUGUUCAUUGGGCUAGUUAUAUUAACAGCACUUGAAACAUUUACUGGACUUCUCAUGCUCAUUGCAGCUGCCACUGUGACUGGGUUUGACAUUGUCCCAGACGACACAGAGGAUGUUAUAUUGAAUGGAGUAGUGAGAGUCACAGGUGUCGUAGCAGCCGUGGAGGUUUGGCACAGGUUAGCAGCUUCU
ensembl:lncRNA